GGGAAAGGGUAUAGUUCCAGAGGCAUUCCGGGUGAUUGUGAUGCGAGUGAUAGUGUAGAGGAGAAAGAAGGGACUGGCUUUGAGUGCAGGGGGAGGGAUCAAAUGACGGACUGGAAUCGGAUUAGAUCGGAGGCUUUGGGGAAGGGUAUAGUUCCAGAGGCAUUCCGGGUGAUUGUGAGUGAUCAUGGUCCCGAAUGGGUGCCGCCUGACCCCGGGGGUGUCAUGUGCCUGGUGGAAUUUAUGGAUAAAAGAGGCCUGAAAUCGCCU
rnacentral:lncRNA from 1 species